rnacentral:rRNA from 1 species
GGGUACGGCCAUACUUGGCCGAAUGCACCAUAUCCCGUCCGAUGUGUGAAGUUAAGCGGACACAGGUCUCGUUAGCACGGCGAUCGCUUACGGUGCUGGAACCCGGGGUGCCGUACCCU